CCUAGUGAUCAGAAGCGAGAAUGUUGACAUGAGUAGCGACAAACAGGGUGAGAGACCCUGUCGCCGAAAGUCCAAGGGUUCCUGCUUAAAGCUAAUCUGAGCAGGGUAAGCCGACCCCUAAGGCGAGGCCGAAAGGCGUAGUCGAUGGGAACCAGGUUAAUAUUCCUGGGCCAGGAGGAUGUGACGGAUCUGAACAGUUGUCUGCCCUUAUCGGAUUGGGUGGGCAGCCUACAGGUUCCCGGAAAUAGCCCUCCAUUAGAUCGUACCCUAAACCGACACAGGUGGACUGGUAGAGAAUACCAAGGCGCUUGAGAGAACCACAUUUAAGGAACUCGGCAAAAUGCUCCCGUAAGUUCGCGAGAAGGGAGCCCCGUCUGUAGGCAACUAUGGGCGGGGGGCACAAACCAGGGGGUGGCGACUGUUUACUUAAAACACAGGGCUGUGCGAAGCCGUAAGGCGACGUAUACAGUCUGACGCCUGCCCGGUGCUGGAAGGUUAAAAGGAGGGGUGCAAGCUCCGAAUUGAAGCCCCAGUAAACGGCGGCCGUAACAAUAACGGUCCUAAGGUAGCGAAAUUCCUUGUCGGGUAAGUUCCGACCUGCACGAAUGGCGUAACGAUCUCCCCGCUGUCUCAAAUGUGGACUCAGCGAAAUUGAACUGUGUGUCAAGAUGCACACUACCCGCGGUUAGACGGAAAGACCCCAUGCACCUUUACUAUAGCUUCGCACUGGCAUCAGGAUUGUGAUGUGCAGGAUAGGUGGUAGGCUUUGAAGCGGGAACGCCAGUUUCCGUGGAGCCUCCCUUGAGAUACCACCCUUCGCACUCUUGAUGUCUAACCGCGGUCCGUCAUCCGGAUCCGGGACCCUGCGUGGUGGGUAGUUUGACUGGGGCGGUCGCCUCCCAAAGAGUAACGGAGGCGCGCGAAGGUUGGCUCAGAGCGGUCGGAAAUCGCUCGUUGAGUGCAAUGGCAGAAGCCAGCCUGACUGCGAGACUGACAAGUCGAGCAGAGUCGAAAGACGGCCAUAGUGAUCCGGUGGUCCCAAGUGGGAGGGCCAUCGCUCAACGGAUAAAAGGUACGCUGGGGAUAACAGGCUGAUGAUGCCCAAGAGUCCAUAUCGACGGCAUCGUUUGGCAUCUCGAUGUCGGCUCGUCUCAUCCUGGGGCUGGAGCAGGUCCCAAGGGUAUGGCUGUUCGCCAUUUAAAGAGGUACGUGAGCUGGGUUUAGAACGUCGUGAGACAGUUCGGUCCCUAUCUGCCGUGGGUGUAGGAUACUUGAGAGGAGUUGCCCCUAGUACGAGAGGACCGGGGUGAACGUUCCACUGGUGGACCAGUUGUCGUGCCAACGGCAGUGCUGGGUAGCUAUGAACGGACAGGAUAACCGCUGAAGGCAUCUAAGCGGGAAGCCCCCCUCAAAACAAGGUAUCCCUUGAGAGCCGUGGAAGACGACCACGUCGAUAGGCCGGAGAUGUAAGCGCUGCGAGGCGUUCAGUUGACCGGUACUAAUUGCUC
rnacentral:rRNA from 1 species